rnacentral:rRNA from 1 species
AACGAACGCUGGCGGCAUGCCUAACACAUGCAAGUCGAACGAGACCUUCGGGUCUAGUGGCGCACGGGUGCGUAACGCGUGGGAAUCUGCCCUGGGGUGCGGAAUAACUCGGAGAAAUCCGUGCUAAUACCGCAUAAUGUCUUCGGGACCAAAGAUUUAUCGCCCUGGGAUGAGCCCGCGUAGGAUUAGCUAGUUGGUGGGUAAAGGCCUACCAAGGCGACGAUCCCUUAGCUGGUCUGAGAGGAUGAUCAGCCACACUGGGACUGAGACACGGCCCAGACUCCUACGGGAGGCAGCAGUGGGAAUAUUGGGACAAUGGGCGAAAGCCUGAUCCAGCAAUGCCGCGUGAGUGAUGAAGGCCCUAGGGUGUAAAGCUCUUUACCCGGGAUGAUAAUGACAGUACC